AUCUAGCCCUGAUUGUAGAGAAAAUCUCGUCUUUUUUGACGAGAUUGAAACGGAAAGCAGGAAAAUGG
rnacentral:sRNA from 1 species